UACGGAGGGUGCAAGCGUUGCUCGGAAUCACUGGGCGUAAAGCGCACGCAGGCGGCUAUUCAAGUCGGAUGUGAAAGCCCCGGGCUCAACCCGGGAACUGCAUUCGAAACUGGAUGGCUUGAGUUCGAGAGAGGGUGGUGGAAUUCCUGGUGAUAGAGGUGAAAUUCGUUGAUAUCAGGAGGAACAGUCGGACGGCG
rnacentral:rRNA from 1 species